GAUGAAGAACGCAGCGAAAUGCGAUAAGUAAUGUGAAUUGCAGAAUUCAGUGAAUCAUCGAAUCUUUGAACGCACAUUGCGCCCGCCAGUAUUCUGGCGGGCAUGCCUGUUCGAGCGUCAUUUCAACCCUCAAGCCCAGCUUGGUGUUGGGGAUCGGCACAGGCGCCCUCGGGCGCCCGCCGUCCCCUAAAUCUAGUGGCGGUCCCGCUGCAGCCUCCUCUGCGUAGUAGUUUUCUCCUCGCAAGGGCAGCUCGGUGGCGACCUCGCCGUAAAACCCCCAACUUCUGAAAGGUUGACCUCGAAUCAGGUAGGAGUACCCGCUGAACUUAAGCAUAUCAAUAAGCGGAGGA
rnacentral:misc_RNA from 1 species